rnacentral:rRNA from 1 species
CCUACGGGAGGCAGCAGUAGGGAAUCUUGCGCAAUGGGCGAAAGCCUGACGCAGCCAUGCCGCGUGAAUGAUGAAGGUCUUAGGAUUGUAAAAUUCUUUCACCGGGGACGAUAAUGACGGUACCCGGAGAAGAAGCCCCGGCUAACUUCGUGCCAGCAGCCGCGGUAAUACGAAGGGGGCUAGCGUUGCUCGGAAUUACUGGGCGUAAAGGGAGCGUAGGCGGAUAGUUUAGUCAGAGGUGAAAGCCCAGGGCUCAACCUUGGAACUGCCUUUGAUACUGGCUAUCUUGAGUAUGGGAGAGGUGAGUGGAACUCCGAGUGUAGAGGUGAAAUUCGUAGAUAUUCGGAAGAACACCAGUGGCGAAGGCGACUCACUGGCCCAUUACUGACGCUGAGGCUCGAAAGCGUGGGGAGCAAACAGGAUUAGAUACCCUGGUAGUCCACGCCGUAAACGAUGAGUGCUAGUUGUCGGCAUGCAUGCAUGUCGGUGACGCAGCUACGACAUUAAGACACCUCCGCCGUCGGGGUAGGUACGGUCGGCGAAGAAGUUAAAACUUAACGAAAGGAAAGUUAGACGGCGUGAGACGUGCCGACGGACGACGACGAGGGAGGUUAGG